AUACAAGGCCUGGAACAAGCAAUUCAGCUGGCAAUCUUAAGGCAGAGAAAGAGUUAAUAGGUUCUUUUUAAAGACUGUUCUAUCUUCUUUGUUACAACUGCUGUUACCAGAUUUUAAAUUUAGUAUAAGUAACAGAAAACUGCCAUGGACCUUGAAUUUUUAUUUCUUGGGAGCAUUGUGCUUGCAACCAUUUUUGUCUUCCUGAAGAUUUUACUAGAGGAUACUUUGCCAUAAAGAUCACAGACAUUGCUGGAGAAUACCACUGAAGUUCUCUAGAUGUAUCCUGUCCUAGAUUGAGUAAAGUUAUAAUCUAGCGAUCAUCUGAUUUCCUGUGUACUAGACUAAUUCAGGCAGUUGAUUCAAGCAUGAUUAUGAGGUCACUCUUGUGUAAAAAAAUUCCUAUAUUAUGACCUCACCAACAGUAUAUAAGGCCUGGCACAAGCAAUUCAGCUGGCUAUCAUAAGGCAGAGAACGAGCUAUUAGGUUCUUUUCAAAGACUAUUCUAUGUUCUUUGUUACAACCGCUGUUACCAGAUUCUAAAUUAGUAAACGUAACAGAAAACUGCCAUGAACCUUGAAUUCAUUUUUCUUGGCAGCAUUGUGCUUGCAACCAUUUUUGUCUUCCUGAAGAUUUUACUAGAGGAUACUUUGCCAUAAAGAUCACAGACAUUGCUGGAGAAUACCGCUGAAGUUCUCUAGAUAACACUAUAUGAAUGGACACCAAAGUUAACAUUUCAUAUAGCUGUAAGGACAACACCUUCUAUGUAAAACAAGAACGAUGCUGUGACUCUUCUGGUGAACAAUUUCAAUCAUAUUAUGGUGACUACCUCCCAUAUUCAAUACCCAUGUUCAGGCAAAUUGUAGUUCAUUUGGACAUCAUAGAAUGACUACUGGCUCGAAUAAAGAAAAAUAAAGUCCAA